AGUUAGCUGUCUACUGCAAGGACCAGGAGCAGUCAGUGCUUAGAGGAGCUGCCUAUGAGAAACACUGAGGAGGGCUGAUGCAGGAAAAUGAAAUCUGUGCUGCUCUGCAACAUCUGCACUGCUUUAUGGGAUGACUAAAACCAAAAAUGCAGAUUAAAAUGGCAGCAUAUGAAUGACCACAGCCUACACCACCUUUGCCUACAUAACCCUGCAGCAUUACCUGAAGAAUUUCAGCAUUCAGUGAAUCCUUGUCUGCUGGUUCUGCUUUCUAUCAAGAUUUACAUUCCACUGUGCCAACUGCUCCCAUGGCUUUAGUGAGACACAAUCAAUCAGCUGUUCCAGGAGCCGUUGGGUUCUUUAUGUGCACUGAGUCUUAUCUCUUUUAUUCUCAAGGCAACUUUCUCAACUCUAAAUUAAAGGACUAAAGUGAAAGCACUGAUUGGAAGUUUCUGUAUAUUCCUUAAAUUUAUAAUGUCCCUAGAAACCAAUUAUGGGAUUUUGCACAGAAAAUAAAAAUAAUUUGACUUUUCACCAGAUUGUAUUUCAAAAUAAUAUGGUGAGGUUUAAAUUAGUUAUUUAAUGUUAAAAAUUAAACACAUUUUGUCCUAGCA